UGUCGUCAGCUCGUGUCGUGAGAUGUCGGCUUAAGUGCCAUAACGAGCGCAACCCUCAUCAUUAGUUACUAACAGGUCAUGCUGAGGACUCUAGUGAGACUGCCAUCGUAAGAUGCGAGGAAGGUGGGGAUGACGUCAAAUCAGCACGGCCCUUACGUCCGGGGCGACACACGUGUUACAAUGGGUGGUACAAAGGGCAGCUACCUGGCGACAGGAUGCUAAUCUCCAAAACCACUCUCAGUUCGGAUCGGAGUCUGCAACUCGACUCCGUGAAGCUGGAUUCGCUAGUAAUCGCGCAUCAGCCACGGCGCGGUGAAUACGUUCCCGGGA
rnacentral:rRNA from 1 species